GAGAUAUAGACAGAGAGUAUGACUUUUUUGCUUCAGCUUUUUACACGACACAUUCUCGAUCCGAACUCGGCGUUCUUCUCAGCGGCAGAGACACGAACACCGAACAAAACCAGACCCAGAACAAAGUCGAAGAGGAUCAAGAGAAGUUGUUUGGAGACCUCGAGUUCGCCACUGUUUGUGUUGUUUGGAGCUGCAGAGAAUCUGAGAAAUGGAGUCAUUCGGCGCGGCGGACGCCGAAGCCGAAGAGUACCCCCACGACCCCGACUCGCAGGCCCACCACCACUCGAGCCCUUUCCACGACAACGCCUUCAAGGGCUACGACCCCGCCGACGACGCUCCCCCUCCCUCCUCCGCCGAGGAGGGCUACGUCUUCGGUGGCGCCGGCGGCGGCGGCGGGUACGGCGACAGCCAGGCGUCCCCCGAGGUCUAUGGGUUCGGGGUGACGACCCCGGACCCGGAUUACGUCUCGCCCUUCGAGUCGGUGAUGAACGGAGUCGAGGAGGAGGAGGGUGGUGGAGGUGGGUUUGUGUCGGAUGGGCCUCUGUUGCCGCCGCCGAGUGAGAUGGUCGAGGAAGGCGCCGCUCGACGUGAGUGGAGGCGUCAAAACGCCAUACACCUCGAGGAAAAGGAGAAGAGGGAGAAGGAGAUGCGGGAUCAGAUCAUUGCGGAUGCUGAAGAGUAUAAGCGAGCUUUCUACGAGAAAAGGAAGCUCAACUGCGAAACGAACAAGGCUGAUAACAGAGAAAGAGAGAAGCUGCACUUGGCGAACCAAGAGAAGUUCCACAAGGAAGCCGACAAGCAUUACUGGAAAGCCAUAGCCGAGAUCAUCCCUCGAGAGGUUCCGAACAUCGAGAAGAGAGGGAAGAGGGAUGCCGAGAAAAAGCCCUCGGUGGUGGUCGUCCAGGGGCCUAAGCCAGGAAAGCCCACCGAUCUUUCGAGGAUGAGGCAAGUUCUGUUCAAGCUGAAACAGCACCCUCCGCCUCACAUGAUGCCUCCCCCAACGCCACCGCCCGCGAAGGAUGGGAAGGAGAAGGACUCGAAGGAAGGGGGCAAGGACGAAAAGAAUGGUAAAACUCCUGCCGAUGCUACAUCUGGUGAUGCUGCUGGCAGUGCUGCAGAGAAACCGGCGGCAGAGAAGCCGGCAACCCCUCCCAAAGUCGCCUCCGAUGGUGGUGACCCAAACAAAGUAGAGGUUCCUGAAGCCCCUGAGGGAGAAAAGCCUGCUGAACCGGAGGCAGCUGCUGCCAAGUGAUGCGACUUUUCCAGUCUCUUUCUUUUUCGAUUAACUUUCUUUCUCUUCUUUCUGUUAAAUUUAAAUGCUUAGUAGCUGCCUCCGGUAAAGAAUAAGCACAACUUCGUGUAGAUGCCUCAGAGCAGAGUGAAGUGCAGAGCUUUUAAUCCUAACUUGCUCUAGGUUUUCUGAGCGAACAUUACUAUGUCAUGCUGGAUCGGAAAAAUAAAAGUCCUUUCAACUAGCUAGAGUUCAUUGUCAGCGUCAGCACAGUUCCGAUCGAAACUUCCAGUCCCAUGAAGAGUGAUCAAGAUUAGGUAGUAGGAG